rnacentral:tRNA from 1 species
AGAUAAUGAAGUAAAAAAUUACAAUUAGUUUCGACCUAAUAUUAGGAUACAUUCCCUUAUCUA